AUUGAACGCUGGCGGCAUGCCUUAAACAUGCAAGUCGAACGGUAACAGGUCUUCGGAUGCUGACGAGUGGCGAACGGGUGAGUAAUACAUCGGAACGUGCCUAGUAGUGGGGGAUACCUACUCGAAAGAGUGGCUAAUACCGCAUGAGAACUACGCAUGAAAGCAGGGGAUCGCAAGACCUUGUGCUACUAAAGCGGCCGAUGGCAGAUUACGUAGUUGGUGGGAUAAAAGCUUACCAAGCCGACGAUCUGGAGCUGGUCUGAGAGGACGAUCAGCCACACUGGGACUGAGACACGGCCCAGACUCCUACGGGAGGCAGCAGUGGGGAAUUUUGGACAAUGGGCGAAAGCCUGAUCCAGCAAUGCCGCGUGCAGGAUGAAGGCCUUCGGGUUGUAAACUGCUUUUGUACGGAACGAAAAGCCCUGGGUUAAUACCCUGGGGUCAUGACGGUACCGUAAGAAUAAGCACCGGCUAACUACGUGCCAGCCGCCGCCGUAA
rnacentral:rRNA from 1 species